AUCGCUUCUCGGCCUUUUGGCUAAGAUCAAAUGUAGUAUCUGUUCUUAUCAGUCUAAUAUCUGAUACGUUCUCUACACGAGAACGACGUGUUAAACGGAUUUUUGGAGUGAGGAGUCGGAGUAGGAGCUUGCUCCGUCCGCUCCGCGCAUCGACUUGGUAUUGCAGUGUUUCCAGGGCUGGUGCACAGCAC